rnacentral:rRNA from 1 species
CCUACGGGAGGCAGCAGUGGGGAAUAUUGGGCAAUGGGCGCAAGCCUGACCCAGCAACGCCGCGUGAAGGAAGAAGGCCCUCGGGUUGUAAACUUCUUUUAACAGGGACGAAGAAAGUGACGGUACCUGUUGAAUAAGCCUCGGCUAACUACGUGCCAGCAGCCGCGGUAAUACGUAGGUGGCAAGCGUUAUCCGGAUUUCCUGGGUUGAAAGGGCGUGUAGGCGGGAGAGCAAGUCAGACGUGAAAUUCCAGGGCUCAACCCUGGAACUGCGUUUGAAACUGGUCUUCUGGAGUGAUGGAGAGGCAGGCGGAAGUCGGUGUGUAGCGGUGAAAUGCGGAGAUAUACGGAGGAACACCAGUGGCGAAGGCGGCCUGGUGGACAUUAACUGACGCUGAGGCGCGAAAGCGUGGGGAGCAAACAGGAUUAGAUACCCGAGUAGUC